rnacentral:lncRNA from 1 species
AUGAGAGCCAAAGACUCAGAGGAUACACACACUCGCGUACAAAAGCCUCUGCCAGCCAGCAAAGCCUGUUUGUUUUGUCAUGACAACCCUUGUCACUUCCAUCUGGAGGACAGGCUGAGAACCUGUCUGAGCUGCAAGAUUACAGAGAAUUAUAUUUCACAGUCAAAUGAUUAUGACACAGAGAGAAGCCGUCAGUAUAAGGUGCUUAGGCUUUACAUAAACAAACAUGCACUGUCUUUGACAAGGAAACAACUGGGCUUGAAAAUUUCACAUGAAGAGCAAUAUCGAUGUGGUAAGUGAUGAAGAAAACCGUUUCCUGGUUCCCUCUUAAGAUAGCAGUGCUGAUGUUUUAGAACUAGAAGUGCUGCUGUGUGACAAAACACAGUUAAGAAGAAGACACUGGUCAUCUACAUGCAGAUUAAGAGAAAAUAUCACAAGUAUUCAUCUACCUUGAGUCAAAAUCGGUUGAUGGAUCU